rnacentral:rRNA from 1 species
GACGAACGCUGGCGGCGUGCUUAACACAUGCAAGUCGAACGGGCCCGCUCUCUUUUUUGGGGGUGGGUUGAGUGGCGAACGGGUGAGUAUCACGUGAGUAACCUGCCCCCUGCUCCUGGAUAACUGCUUGAAAGGGCGGCUAAUACGGGGUGUGCCGGCUGGUCCGCAUGGGCCUGGUCGGGAUAGUUUCAUCUUCGGGUGUUUCGGUGGGGGAUGGGCUCGCGGCCUAUCAGCUUGUUGGGGGGGUGAUGGCCCACCAAGGCGGUGACGGGUAGCCGGCCUGAGAGGGUGGGCGGCCACACUGGGACUGAGCCACGGCCCAGACUCCUGCGGGAGGCAGCAGUGGGGGGUAUUGCACAAUGGGCGGAAGCCUGAUGCAGCGACGUCGCGUGAGGGAUGGAGGCCUUCGGGUUGUGAACCUCUUUCUCCGGGGGUGAAGGCCCUGUCCGUUGCGGCGGGGUUGACGGUAGCCGGGUAUGAAGCGCCGGCUAACUACGUG